ACGUAGGAGGCGAGCGUUAUCCGGAUUUACUGGGCGUAAAGCGCGUGCAGGCGGUGCGAUAAGUCGUGCGUGAAAGCGCUCUGGCUCAACCGGGCGAGGGCGUGCGGAACUGCUGAACUAGAGGCAGGUAGAGGCGUGUGGAAUUCCGGGUGUAGUGGUGAAAUGCGUAGAGGUCCGGAGGAACACCAGUGGCGAAGGCGACGCGCUGGGCCUGACCUGACGCUGAGAUACGAAAGCGUGGGGAGCAAACAG
rnacentral:rRNA from 1 species